AACUCUGACCCAGCCAUGCCGCGUGCAGGAAGACUGCCCUAUGGGUUGUAAACUGCUUUUAUACAGGAAGAAACCCGGCCACGUGUGGCCGGCUGACGGUACUGUACGAAUAAGGACCGGCUAACUCCGUGCCAGCAGCCGCGGUAAUACGGAGGGUCCAAGCGUUAUCCGGAAUCAUUGGGUUUAAAGGGUCCGUAGGCGGGCAAUUAAGUCAGAGGUGAAAUCCCACAGCUCAACUGUGGAACUGCCUUUGAUACUGGUUGUCUUGAGUUAUAGUGAAGUGGAUAGAAUAUGUAGUGUAGCGGUGAAAUGCAUAGAUAUUACAUAGAAUACCGAUUGCGAAGGCAGA
rnacentral:rRNA from 1 species